AUGAACCAGUCAGAUGGAUUUAGUCAAAACCUAUUAGUGUAGAUGUUCUAUUUUAAGACUCAUGAACCAAUAAAGGAUGGGCCUAACUCUGUAUGGAAACAGCAGAAAUGAUAGAGCUAUAAUAUAUCUAGCAUAAAUAGUCAUUUGAAGUUUCCCUACUGUAGUAAUACUGGAGCAAUAAACGACCGUCCUCACUGGACCGCUAAAGCAAUGAGCCAUCCAGUAUUAAGUUCAGGUUAACUCCUCUAUACAGGGGAAAUAAAGUUAGCUUCAAUUUGCUUCUGCAUGUAUAUAUAGCAACAUAUGUGAGUGCCGGGUUCAAGUAAACACGAAAC